rnacentral:rRNA from 1 species
GACGAACGCUGGCGGCGCGCUUAACACAUGCAAGUCGAACGGAAAGGCCUGCUUUCCCUUGUAGAUUGCGGGUACUCGAGUGGCGAACGGGUGAGUAACACGUGAGUGAUCUGCCCCCAACUUGGGUAUAAGCCUGGGAAACUGGGUCUAAUUCCCGAUAGGACUGCAGGGUGGUGCCUGUGGUGGAAAACGAUUUUCUAGUGGUUGGGGAUGAGCUCGCGGCCUAUCAGCUUGUUGGUGGGGUAAUGGCCUACCAAGGCGGCGACGGGUAGCCGGCCUGAGAGGGUGGACGGCCACAUUGGGACUGAGAUACGGCCCAGACUCCUACGGGAGGCAGCAGUGGGGAAUAUUGCACAAUGGGCGGAAGCCUGAUGCAGCGACGCCGCGUGGGGGAUGACGGCCUUCGGGUUGUAAACUCCUUUCGACCGCGAGGAAGCCACCUGGUUGGAAGGGUGGUGACGGUAGUGGUAGAAGAAGCACCGGCUAACUACGUG